rnacentral:tRNA from 1 species
CAAAGAAUAGUUUAAUUAGAAUUCUAGCUUUGGGGGCUAAGAGGUGGGGUUUAAUUCCCCUUUCUUUGAGGCGGCGGCGGCGGCGGCGGGGAUUUUCCCUCACGUGUUCUUA